rnacentral:rRNA from 1 species
UACAGAGGUCCCGAGCGUUUGUUCGGAUUCACUGGGCGUAAAGGGUGCGUAGGUGGUGAGGUAAGUCGGAUGUGAAAUCUCCAAGCUCAACUUGGAAAUGGCAUUGGAAACUACCUUGCUGGAGGUUUGGAGGGGGGACUGGAAUUCUCGGUGUAGCAGUGAAAUGCGUAGAUAUCGAGAGGAACACCAGUGGCGAAGGCGAGUCCCUGGACAAAACCUGACACUGAGGCACGAAAGCUAGGGGAGCAAACAGG